CGCUGGCGGCGUGCUUAACACAUGCAAGUCGAACGCGAAAGGGACUUCGGUCCUGAGUAAAGUGGCGCACGGGUGAGUAACGCGUAGAUAACCUGUCUUCAUGUCUGGAAUAAUACGCCGAAAGGGGUACUAAUACCGGAUAUUCUUGCUUUUCAUAAGUUAUGCAAGCAAAGGUGGCCUCUGCAUAUGCUACUGCAUGAAGAGGGGUCUGCGUACCAUUAGCUAGUAGGUGGGGUAAUGGCCUACCUAGGCGACGAUGGUUAGCGGGUCUGAGAGGAUGAUCCGCCACACUGGCACUGGAACACGGGCCAGACUCCUACGGGAGGCAGCAGUGAGGAAUAUUGCGCAAUGGGGGAAACCCUGACGCAGCGACGCCGCGUGAGUGAAGGAAGGCCUUCGGGUCGUAAAGCUCUGUCAAGAGGAAAGAAGUGUACAAUGGCUAAUACCUGUUGUAUUUGACGGUACCUCUAAAGGAAGCACCGGCUAACUCCGUGCCAGCAGCCGC
rnacentral:rRNA from 1 species